CCUACUGGGCGUGGAAUGUACUCCACGGGUUGGAAAUGGCCUUCCUGUUACUUUCUCUCCUAUUACUAUCCUGGAUUCUCUUAUUACUGGAAAACGUGUUCAAUACCCAGGGAUCACUCAGCACAAGGUCAAGAGCUGACUGUCAGCAAGAAAGAAAAGCAGAGCAAAGAAAUGAAGACCAUGUGAAAGGAAAACAUUGCUUUCAAGGCUCUGCCUACAAGGUCCACAUGAAAGAAGAUCCUGCCUAAAUGAAGCCAACAGAGAGAAAGAAUCCUGGAGAAAGUAAGAACCCUAGGCUUCAUGGCAUCCAUUGAGUGCCUGGAUCUGCCUGUUUCUGAAGCUGGAUCUGCAUUUCCCACCCGCCUAGAUUUUGCAAGCCAGCAAAUAUACUCUUCAUGUUUAAACCCACUUGAAUUGAUUUUCUAUUCUCUUACAACCAUGAGUCACACAAGGAGGAUGUUUUUC
ensembl:lncRNA